GAUGAACGCUGGCGGCGUGCCUAAUACAUGCAAGUCGAACGCUUCACUUCGGUGAAGAGUGGCGAACGGGUGAGUAAUACAUAAGUAACCUGGCAUCUACAGGGGGAUAACUGAUGGAAACGUCAGCUAAGACCGCAUAGGUGUAGAGAUCGCAUGAACUCUAUAUGAAAAGUGCUACGGGACUGGUAGAUGAUGGACUUAUGGCGCAUUAGCUUGUUGGUAGGGUAACGGCCUACCAAGGCGACGAUGCGUAGCCGACCUGAGAGGGUGACCGGCCACACUGGGACUGAGACACGGCCCAGACUCCUACGGGAGGCAGCAGUAGGGAAUUUUCGGCAAUGGGGGAAACCCUGACCGAGCAACGCCGCGUGAAGGAAGAAGUAAUUCGUUAUGUAAACUUCUGUCAUAGAGGAAGAACGGUGGAUAUAGGGAAUGAUAUCCAAGUGAAGGUACUCUAUAAGAAAGCCACGGCUAACUACGU
rnacentral:rRNA from 1 species